rnacentral:rRNA from 1 species
GACGAGGGAUCCUAGCGUUGUUCGGAAUCAUUGGGCGUAAAGCGGGUGUAGGUGGCUUUGUAAGUCAGGUGUGAAAGCCCAGGGCUCAACCCUGGAAGUGCAUUUGAUACUGCGAAGCUUGAAUGUUGGAGAGGUCAUCGGAAUACCUGGUGUAGUGGUGAAAUACGUAGAUAUCAGGUGGAACACCGGAGGCGAAGGCGGGUGACUGGCCAAACAUUGACACUGAGACCCGAAAGCGUGGGGAUCAAACAGG